rnacentral:rRNA from 1 species
GAGUUUGAUCAUGGCUCAGGAUGAACGCUGGCGGUCUGCUUAACACAUGCAAGUCGAACGGAAUCUUUCGGGAUUUAGUGGCGGACGGGUGAGUAACGCGUGAGAAUCUGCCUUCAGGUUCGGGACAACAGCUGGAAACGGCUGCUAAUACCGGAUGUGCCGAGAGGUGAAAGCUUUAGUGCCUGGAGAUGAGCUCGCGUCUGAUUAGCUAGUAGGUGUGGUAAUGGCGCACCUAGGCGACGAUCAGUAGCUGGUCUGAGAGGAUGAUCAGCCACACUGGGACUGAGACACGGCCCAGACUCCUACGGGAGGCAGCAGUGGGGAAUUUUCCGCAAUGGGCGCAAGCCUGACGGAGCAAGACCGCGUGAGGGAAGAAGGUCUGUGGAUUGUAAACCUCUUUUGAUAGGGAAGAAGACAGUGACGGUACCUAUCGAAUCAGCCUCGGCUAACUCCGUGCCAGCAGCCGCGGUAAUACGGAGGAGGCAAGCGUUAUCCGGAAUUAUUGGGCGUAAAGAGUCCGUAGGUGGGUGACCAAGUCAGUUGUUAAAUAGUGAAGCUUAACUUCAUAGAGGCGACUGAAACUGGUCAUCUAGAGUGUGGUAGGGGUAGAGGGAAUUUCCAGUGUAGCGGUGAA